rnacentral:rRNA from 1 species
UAAGGAAUAUUGGUCAAUGGACGCAAGUCUGAACCAGCCAUGCCGCGUGAAGGAUGAAGGUCCUCUGGAUUGUAAACUUCUUUUAUCUGGGACGAAAACGGGAUUUUUAUCUCAAUUGACGGUACCAGAGGAAUAAGCACCGGCUAACUCCGUGCCAGCAGCCGCGGUAAUACGGAGGGUGCGAGCGUUAUCCGGAUUUACUGGGUUUAAAGGGUGCGUAGGUGGGCUUAUAAGUCAGUGGUGAAAUCUCCGAGCUUAACUUGGAAACUGCCGUUGAUACUAUAGGUCUUGAAUUAUCUGGAGGUCAGCGGAAUAUGUCAUGUAGCGGUGAAAUGCUUAGAUAUGACAUAGAACACCAAUUGCGAAGGCAGCUUACUACAUAUAAAUUGACGCUGAGGCACGAAAGCGUGGGGAUCAAACA